rnacentral:rRNA from 1 species
UACGGAGGGGGCUAGCGUUGUUCGGAAUUACUGGGCGUAAAGCGCACGUAGGCGGCUUUGUAAGUUAGAGGUGAAAGCCCGGAGCUCAACUCCGGAAUUGCCUUUAAGACUGCAUCGCUCGAAUCAUGGAGAGGUGAGUGGAAUUCCGAGUGUAGAGGUGAAAUUCGUAGAUAUUCGGAAGAACACCGGUGGCGAAGGCGGCUCACUGGCUCAUUUCUGACGCUCAGGCGCGACAGCGUGGGGAUCAAAUAGG